rnacentral:rRNA from 1 species
UGGUAAGUUAUUAAGGGUGGAGGGGGAUGUUGGAUAGGAGGAUGAAGGAGUGAUAAGUGGGAUAAGUUGGGGAGUUGAGUAAAUUUGAUGAAGAUUUGAAUGAGGAAAUAUUAGAGUAAUGUUAAGUAUAUUAAGUGAAUAAUAGUUAAUGAGGGGAAUAGGGAAUGAAAAUUAAGUAUGAAGGAAGAGAAAGAAAUUGAUUGUAAGUAGGGGAGGAAGGGAUUAGAAAAAUAAAGUUUUUUUGUUGGGGUUGGGAAUAUAUAAGAAGAGGUAUGUAAUUGAAGAGGUUUGGAAAGAAAAAGAAGGUAAUAGUUGUAUGUUAAAGAGAAGAUUUAGAUAUGAUAGAGUAAGGGAAGUGAAAUGUGGGAAGAGGAGGGAAUAAGGUAAAUAUAUAGUGAGGAUAGGUAUAGUAGGUGAGGGAAAGGUGAAAAGAAGGGAGGGGAGUGAAAUAGAAUGAAAUGAUUAAAGUGUGGAAGAAUUUUUGUGUGAGGUAUUUUUGUAGAAGGGAAGAGUUAGUUAAGUAGAAGGUUAAGAUUAAGGUGUGGAGGUAGGAAAGGAGUUUUAAUGAGGGUUAGUUAUUGAGUAGAGAAAGGGGAUAAUGAGAGGAUGAAGGAAAGUAAAAUUUGUGGAGGUGAAAGAGGUUGAAAAGUGGGAUGAUUGUGGGUAGGGUGAAAUUAAUGAGGGAGAUAGUGGUUUGAAAUAGUUUAGGGUAGUAAGGUGAGAGAUAGGAGGUAGAGAUGAAUGUUAGGGGGUAUUGAUAGAAGAUAUAAAUGAAUGGUAUUUAUAUUGGGAGUAGAUGUGGGUGAUAAGAUUAUAGUGAAAGGGAAAGAGAUGUAGUAAGGUUAAAUGUAAGUUAAGUGGUAAAGGAUGUGGGAUUGAAGAAAAGGAUGUUGGUUAGAAGAGAUAUUAAAGAGUGGUAAUAGUAUGGUGAGUGAUUGGGAAGAUUUGGGGUAAAAUUAUAGAAGUAGGAUAGUAAUGAUGGGUAGGGGAGUUAUAGGGUUGAAGAUGAGUAAGGAAUGUGGAAGUAUGGGAGUGAGAAUGUUGGAUGAGUAGGAGAUGUGGGUGAGAAUAAGGGUAAAAAGGUUUAGGGGAAGGUUGUGUGGGUUAGUGGGAUAAGUGAGGGAAAGGGUAGGUGAUGGAAAAGGUUGAUAUUUGUAUAGAUAAGUUUGAGAGAAGGGAUGAAAGUAGGAUAAGUAAGAAUGUUGGUUAUGUGUGAAGAUUGAGGAGUAAAGUAGGAAAUGUUUGAUAAUGUGGGAUGUGAUGGGGAGGAAAUUUAGUAGGAAGUAGUGAUUUAAUGUAAGAAAAGUUUAUGAGGUUAAAGGUAGUAGAAAGAAAGGUGGGUGAGGAGAGUAUUAAGGAGGAGAGAAUGUUGUUAAGGAAUGGAAAAUGAGUAAUUAGGGAUAAGGGGUGAAUAGGUGGGAGAGAAUAGGAAGGAUGUUUAAAAAAAUAGGUUUUGUAAGUGAAGAGAUGUAUAGGAGUGAGUGGGUGUGGAAGGUUAAGGGGAUUGUUAGAGAAUGAAGAGUGAAUUAAGAGUAAAGGGGGUAAUAUAAGGUUAAGGUAGGAAAUUUUGUGGGUAAGUUGGAGAGAAAGGGUAAGAUUUGGGAUGUUAAAAAGAUGGUGAAAUUGUAAUUGGUGAAGAUGGGAUAUGGAAGGAGGAAAGAAUGGAGUUUAUGUAGUUGAAUUGGGUUUGGUAUAAUGUAAGGAUAGGUGGGAGGUUUGAAAAGGAGAGUUUUGGGGAGAUUUGGGAUAAUUGUAGUAUGGGAUUAAAUAGGAUGAAUUGGUUUGGAAUGUAGGUGGGAGUUUGAUGGGGGGUGUAAAAGGUAAGGAGGGUAAAGGUUUUAGUAGGUGGAAAUGUAGUAGAGUGUAAAGGAAAAGAGAGUUGAUUGAAGAAUAAGGUGAGAAGGAUGAAAAUGGAUUAGUGAUGGUGGUUUGGUGGAAGGGAUGUAAGGAUAAAAGUAUGGGGAUAAAGGUUAUUAAGAGUAAUGAGGGGAGGUUUGGAUGAUGUGGUAUAAUUGGGGUGUAGUAGGUAAGGGUUGGGUGUUGAUUAAAGUGGUAGGAGUGGGUUAGAAGUGUGAGAAGUUGGUUAUGUGAGGGUAGGAAAUUUGAGAAGAUGUUUAGUAGAGAGGAGGGAUGGAGUAUUGGUGUAAGUUGUUGAAGGGAUGGUGGGUAGUAUGUAGGAAUGGAUAAGGUGAAAGAUUAAGGGAAGAAUUAAGAUAAGAUUUAGAAGGGUAAGAAGAAAGAUAUUGGUUGAUAGGUGAAGGUGUAAGUGAGAAUGUAUUUAGUUAUGAUA